rnacentral:rRNA from 1 species
GAUGAACGCUGGCGGCGUGCUUAACACAUGCAAGUCGAACGGAAAGGCCCAAGCUUGCUUGGGUACUCGAGUGGCGAACGGGUGAGUAACACGUGGGUGAUCUGCCCUGCACUUCGGGAUAAGCCUGGGAAACUGGGUCUAGUACCGGAUAGGACGAUGGUUUGGAUGCCAUUGUGGAAAGUUUUUUCGGUGUGGGAUGAGCUCGCGGCCUAUCAGCUUGUUGGUGGGGUAAUGGCCUACCAAGGCGUCGACGGGUAGCCGGCCUGAGAGGGUGUACGGCCACAUUGGGGCUGAGAUACGGCCCAGACUCCUACGGGAGGCAGCAGUGGGGAAUAUUGCACAAUGGGCGCAAGCCUGAUGCAGCGACGCCGCGUGGGGGAUGACGGCCUUCGGGUUGUAAACUCCUUUCGCUAGGGACGAAGCGUUUUUGUGACGGUACCUGGAGAAGAAGCACCGGCUAACUACGUG